rnacentral:rRNA from 1 species
GACGAGGGAUCCAAGCGUUGUUCGGAAUUACUGGGCGUAAAGAGCGCGCAGGCGGUCGUACAAGUCGCGUGUGAAAGCCCCCGGCUUAACUGGGGAGGGUCACGCGAUACUGUUCGACUCGAAGGCAGGAGAGGGAAGCGGAAUUCCCGGUGUAGUGGUGAAAUGCGUAGAUAUCGGGAGGAACACCAGUGGCGAAGGCGGCUUCCUGGCCUGUUCUUGACGCUGAGGCGCGAAAGCUAGGGUAGCAAACGGG